AUCUAACUAAGAUUGUGUAGGAAUAUAAUCCAUAGACUGAAAGAUUAUGCUGAGUAGUUUAUAUACAUUUAACACAAGAAGAGGUGCUUUAUGAAAAGUAAAGCCGUUAAACGUACGUUAAACGUUUUGAGUGGGUUUAUUAAAUGCACGCUUAUAAAAAGUAAUGAUGAUUACAAUUAGGCAUGUUUUUUAAACCAAUGAGGGUGGCAACACGGAUAUUCGUCCCUUGU
rnacentral:misc_RNA from 1 species